CUCUCAAGGCCAAGGAACAACUCAGAGAAGCCCCUGAACGGCCCGCAGUUUGGGGGAGAGAAACGUCGGGGUGCGGAUGGGCGCCUCUCCAUGGGAAGCCUUCCGGAUAGUUUUGUGCCGCAUUGCGGGCAGCUACCCGCUCCCGCCCCCCAGCAAGUUCCAAAGGAGUGCCUGCAGUUUCACAAAGCCAGGCCUCUGGAGCAGCCGGUGCCUGUGGCCCACACUGGUUUGCUUAACUUGGUGCGGCUUGCUGACAAGCGGAAAGCUGUAUGUUUGCUCUCAUUUGUUAGAGGUUAUGGAUCAAAGAUUGUCCGAAAUGCCCACACUGUCGUCACCUACCUUGGUAACUUCACUCUUGGCAUAAGCCCUACCUGGAGAAUGUACUCGACUAAUUAUAAACUAAAAGCAUAUACGUUACUGAAGAGCUUCUUCCUGUAGGGUAGGCUAGAUGAACUGAAUGCUCACGAAGAUGUGUGUAUCCGGGACUACUACUGACAAAGGAUUUUUCAAUAGAAUUUGGAAACUAGAUUCAACAAAUCUCUAUAGAGUGCCAAGUAUGCUAUCACUCUGCUUAAUCUCAUUAAAUGUUUAAGAAUUUUGAUAUUAAACAACAAAGAAGCCAUACAAAAUAUUGUCACUUAACAAAUGCUCUGUGCCAGACUGGAUCCUGGUGAUGCAAAGUCCAAACAAGAAGGUGGAAAGUACCAAAAGUACCUAUGGAUUCAGAAAUGGAAGCCUGUAUUUUCCACAUUCAGUGGUGCGCAGUGAGUAUCCUGGCUUCCUCAUACCUCAGUCCCAUCACCCACUACCCUUGACCGCAGACCUGUACUCCCUGUGUGUUACGAUUCAGCACAGUUCUGGCACGGUAGUGACUGUGGGAAAAAAAAUGAAAACAAAAGAGACUCAAACUGAACCUCAGCAGGCUGAGGAAAUGAGUGAAAAACAAGACUUAGAAUCAGAAGGCAAGAGCCGGGACGUAGGUCAGGUGACCGGUAUCUCUGCUCUAAUACUGACAUAGAAACUGACGAUCUUGUGGAAGAAACAGAUGGGGCUUGGUCCUCUGUUGCCCGGAAGCGGGAGCCGCAUGGUAAGACCUCCUCUGCAUGGAAAUGCACCUCAAGGAAGCUCUGCAUCUGAGGACAAGAAAAUGAGGAUGGGAGAGGACAAAGGGUCUCAUGUAACACAAUUCUGGAAGACUCUGAAAGAAACUGCAUUUUCGUGACCUGGCUUACGGUAAAGCCAUGCCAGAGAACGCGGUACUGCACAGUGGGAUUUCACAGAGUUCAUGGGAAAGUUGGGGCAUGCCGGGUAACCCCGACGAGGGCGAAGACCGUGUUACAUAUGAAGAUGAACAAAGAGCUGUCCAGUCAGAGCAGCGCCAUGAUGUUCUAAGAUAGGAUGAGAUGUUAAAGUCAGGACUAACCACGGAAGUGAACUUGGAUAAAGAAAAGAAGGGGUACGUAACUGUUCCCCAAAUCCCGCCAUCUCCAGGUGGAGUAAAAGACAGAGAUGAGAUCCAGAAUACCCUGAGCUCAGAAUUGUACCUGUCUAGUGUAGGUGUCAACAAGCUUCAGGAGCCAGUACCACUGUCUGCCAGCACAGAAGCAGUCAAGGACCUGGGCGUACAGUCUGAAUCCCAGAAGCCCCUUAGCACUGGGGAGAGGUAGCCGGACAACAGCAGGGGGAGCCACAACCUCCCUGAGAAAGUAGAUGAAGUGGGACAGAGGGACGGCCAUCCCCAGGGUGCUGUUCCCUCUGCUGCCUGGGUGGCCUAGUUGAUGAAGCCAUCCAGUGUGAUAUGAGCCCCUGGCAGGAUGCAGAGCUGAAGAGGUCCCCAGAUUCAGCACCAGAAGAUAGUAGAAAAGGGACGUGGGAAAAGUCAGUGUGGUAUAUGGAGCUGGAUGAAAUGGGAGAGCACAGCAGUCCCUGGGGAGCUGUUCCCUCUACUUCCUGUGUGGCCCAGUUGAACAAAGUUGACGAAGCCAUCCAGUGUGAUAGGAGCUGGUGCCAGGAUGCAGAGCUGGAGGGCUCCCCAGAGUCAUCACCAGAAGGCAGUAGAAAGGUAACAAGGAGGAACUCAAGACUUUUAGCUUUAUCCUAAAAAUGAAAACUAAAGAUGCUGGUAAUGAUUCCUUGUAUAUCUUGAGCCUGUUAUACAACCAUUUUAAGGAACUAUGUUUUGUUAUUUCAUAGAAAACUAAUAUGAGUUUCAUCUACAAAGGCUCGAUGAAUGUAAAUGUUGCAAUGUCAUGUUUGGUUUAGAACAUUGAUAUCUCUCUUAGUUUGAACUAAUAAAGCUAUUAUACCAACAACCAAGUUAAGAAAAUGUGACAUUGUCAAGCCACUGGAAUUUUAAGUUGUAAAGCAGUUAAUAAAUUGAAUUGCAUGUGUGCAA